AGCCCCUCCACUACUGUCUCCCCCAGGUGUUUCUAGUGCUCUAACUGUUGGCUUGCCUGACUCCACUGGGCUGUGAACAUUGCCAACGCUGGGUUGUGACCUCCAUUUUGCUUCCGAGUGCUCCGGCUCCAACCCCAGAAAGUAGGGGUGAGAAAGGUGGACCAUGGAAGCAGGGUGACCAGACUCCUCCACAGUCUAGCUUUAAGGUGAGGGCCUGGGUCAUGGUUUGAUUCUGAGCCAUUCAUGGGCACUGGUUCUAGGUCAGAUCAGUGACAAGUUCAAGGCUCUAGCACUUAGUCACUAUUGAAACCACGGGUCAAAUACAGUUCACAGGGAAGGAAGACUGUCUUCUGUUGGAGGAGGGAGACAUGUCUACACUAGUGAUCAUACUAGUGAAUGUUGUUCUAGAUAGCAGACCCAGGGAGGGGAUGCAGAGGACACAGGUCUGGAGAAAUAGCUCAGCAGAAGAACCCUGACUACUCUUCCAGAGGCCCCAGUUCUAUACCCAGCACUUACAAAGUGGCUCACAACUACCUGUAACUCCAAGCCUGGGGAAUACGAUGGCCCUCGUCGGGCCUUCACUGGCACAGACAUAUGUGCAGAGAAAGCACCUACACACAUAAAAUACAUAGUUUUAAGCAGAGGAUAGGUAAUCCAGAAGAUCUUAAAUAUGGUGCAGUGGGAUCAACAGAGGCCUCCAUGGUUGAUACAACUCAGGAGAACAAGAAGAAAGGUAGUAAGAACCUGCCUAAGACGAGGAGAUUGUGAUCCUGAGGGGGGCGUUCCUCCAGGGAGGAUGCAGGCCACACCAUGAUGCUUCAGCUGCCUUGUGUGUCACUGGGUGCUUUGCUCCUAAUGGCUGAAGGCAUAUACCAUUCUCCCCUGGCUCACAUGUGCACUUUUGUUUGUUUUCAAGGCAGGGUUUCUCUGUAUAGCCUUGGCUGUCCUGGAACUCACUCUGUAGACCAGGCUGCCCUCGAACUCAGAAAUCCGCCUGCCUCUGCCUCCCAAGUGCUGGGAUUAAAGGCGUGCACCACCACUGCCCGGCACAUAUUCAUUCACUAUGUUCACUUUUAACAGGAUUUUAUUUUUAUAUGUGUGUUUUGCCUGAAUGUAAGUGCAUCAUUUAUAGUCCCCAGGCUACUUUCUCAAAAUGCUUUGUAGGUUUUUUUUUUUUAAUGAGUAUUUAAUCAUACACACACACAUACACACACACAUAUAUAUAUAACUUUACACAUUGCAAAACAAGAAAAACAAUAGAAAAAUGGUGAAGUACAAUUAUGAAGAGAUCCAGAAAUAAAUCAUAUUUUUGCAAAAAUCGCACAGGAUAAAGGGAAGGCCUAUGGAAAGAACACAGUUUAAGCAGAACUGUUUGGCUUGAUUUCUGAAUAUGGCGCAAAGUAAGCCACCAUUUGCACUACCUUGUAAAAUAAAAUAAGCAUCAACGUU
rnacentral:lncRNA from 1 species